rnacentral:rRNA from 1 species
CCUACGGGAGGCAGCAGUGAGGAAUAUUGGUCAAUGGACGAGAGUCUGAACCAGCCAAGUAGCGUGAAGGAUGACUGCCCUAUGGGUUGUAAACUUCUUUUAUAUGGGAAUAAAAUGUUCCACGUGUGGGAUUUUGUAUGUACCAUAUGAAUAAGGAUCGGCUAACUCCGUGCCAGCAGCCGCGGUAAUACGGAGGAUCCGAGCGUUAUCCGGAUUUAUUGGGUUUAAAGGGAGCGUAGGUGGGUUGUUAAGUCAGUUGUGAAAGUUUGCGGCUCAACCGUAAAAUUGCAGUUGAGACUGGCAGUCUUGAGUACAGUAGAGGUGGGCGGAAUUCGUGGUGUAGCGGUGAAAUGCUUAGAUAUCACGAAGAACUCCGAUUGCGAAGGCAGUUCACUGGACUGCAACUGACACUGAGGCUCGAAAGUGUGGGUAUCAAACAGGAUUAGAUACCCUUGUAGUC